UUCCUUUUUUUUUUUUUUUUUUUUUUUUUUUUUUUUUUUUGGUCCGAUCAUGAGGUCGCUCAUAUACGCUUUGGCGGUACGUAUUGCAUCUGAGCAUCUUCGCACAUGUUCUGCAAAUAUAUGAACCAAAUAAGUAAAUUAAAACAAUGGAGACAAAAAAGUGUAAGAACUUCUAAACAUCCCAGUACAAGCAACUUCUAUGGAUUUGGAAAGUACAAUCGAGUAAACAAAGCACAUGAUGAAUAAUAUCCUCCACACCCAAUUUAAGCUCCCAAUGCCAAAAAUUUGGUGUGAAAAAUAAAAAUAGCGUGUAGAUAGAACCACUCUAAAAGAAACAGCUUUUCAUUAUAUUCAAAUAUAGAUCAUAUACAAAGAGUUUGAAUUUUGAUUAAUGCACUAAGUUACACUAGACCAGAAGGAAAUAAGGUAGAGGGCCUAAAUCAUUAGGCUACGUUUGGUAUGCGGAAAAGAGAGCUUGGGAAUGAGAAAGUGUUGUCUUUUGCUUUCUAAUGUUUGGUAACUUCAAGCUUGAGAAAUGAUUUCUUGGCUCAUGGGAAAAUAGUGGGGCAAGGGAAGCCCUCCACCUUCUUUAGUAAUCACUUUCUUUCUCCAUGGGAAACCAAAAGAUAACAUUAAUUGCUAUCUUUUUAUGAUAAAUAUGUCCUCAUUAAUAAUUAAAAAUGACCAUUAUAUCUUAAAAUGUGGUUUAGAAACAAAAUUUCUUAAUUCGACAUCAUUGUAGUGAAGAAAAAUUUAUAGCAAUGAUAUGAUAGAAUGAUAGAAUUGUAUCGGGAGAAAAUAGUUUAUGUUCAAAAUAUUAACCUCUUGUUUUAAAUAGGCAUUCUCCUGUUGAAGUUUUUUGUAGACUGAAGUGUCGCUCUUCUUCUGGAAUUGGUGGAUCACCACUAGUAGGGCAAACGAUAUUCUUUAAGGUUUCCUAAUUGCACAGUUUCAGGUCAAAUCUUUUCAUUCAGUUGACGAAGAACAGUGUUUUCUGCUCUCUUAGUUUGUUUCUGAAAACGAUCAUGUACAGAAGAUUCGAUGGAACAUAUUCAUUAUAAAGUAAAAGAGAUGAAAACCAAAUUGCUAAAUAUUGUUUGAAGAGGGAAAGCUGGAGAACCUUCAUUUGUGUUCUUUAUUUUGAAACCAAAACAUGAUCUGAUUUGGCUCAAGCCUCAACUCUCUACAUAGUUGUUUACGUUGGAUCAUCUGGGUGAGUGCAAUCCUUGAAAAAUCUUCAAUGAUAACAAGGUUCUGCAGAUGAAGAUGUUUCAAGAAUUGCACCCACCCAGAUGAUGACUAGUGUCAAAAACUAUGUAGGGAGUUAGGGCUUGAGCCAAAACAGAUCAUGUUUUGGUUUCAAAGUAAAAGAACACAAAUCAAAGUUCACCAUCUUUAUCCCUCCGAACAAUAUUCAACAAUUUUUUUUUUCUCUCUAAUUUUAUAAUGAAUCUCUUCUACUGAAUUUUAUUUUCUUUACAUAGUACUUUUCAGACACAAACAGAGAGGGCAGAAAACAUUGCUCUUCGUUAAUUAAACAAAAAAAAAUUCGACAUGAAAACUGUGCAAUGAGAGAAACCUUAAAGAAUGAUAAGAUGUUUCGUAAAGCUAAUCACUUCAAAAACUCUCGUGCUCGUGUCGAGUCUUCGAAAGAUGAGACAUAACUCAUGCUUACAUAACCUGAAACAUUGGUAAAAGUAUGAUUAGGAUCAUCCAUGGAUGCCUUAAAAAUCUACCAAAAUCGAGUAUCCUAUUUCUACACGAAAUCAGCCAUCUAAGGUAGUUCAAGUUUAAAGAAUCCAAUGUAUUUCAGAGCUUUAUGAUGCAUUCUAAAUUAAUCUUAAUUUCUUUAGAAUUUUUUAAUCAAAGUUAAUAAAAAUAGAUGCAUAACAAAGAAUAAUUCACAUAUUUACCAUUUAGACUGCGAAUUAAUAUUUUUCAACACCUCAGAAAAACAAGUACCAAAUCAAAUCGUGCUAAAAGCAUAAUAGGUAUGAUUUAAUCAAUUCAUAACGACACUAAAUCAACACUGUAGAAAUCAUGAAAGUUUUAACCAUGACUCUAAAACCACAUGUAAAGCAGAAAUCUCAAAUUUCCUAAUUUUCCCAAAAUAUAAAGUGGAGAUUAAUUGAAUAUAAAAAAUAAAAUAAAAAUCAUACCUCGAUCCAUGGUAAAACUCAAUGGAGAAGAAGAUUUAAGAUAGAUUAUUUUUGUUCUUAAGCGGUGGCCAUAGAUAUGUUUUCCUCUUUUUGCUUUGCUUUCGAAGUUCAAUAUUUAUAGGCAAACGACUGACUAGUUUCCUAAUAACCCUAAUCACAAUGAUAUUAUAUUGGGAACUUUAACGAAAAGCUCCUCGUACCGUUCAUUUUAACGAAAAAUCAUAUUUUUACACUAAAAAGUCAAUCCUGAUACUACUCACUUUACCUUUAUUUUGUCCUUAUCGUUAAAACUCAAAGUUUUCAAUCCCUUUUUAUUAGUUUUCCUUAUUAUAUUUGCGCCUCACUUAGUCCAUAGAAAUAUGAAAAUGAUUGGCUUGCCCUUGGCACUAUAAAAAAGCAACCUCACCCUCAUUUAGGGACCAUUCUCCAAUUUAACCCUAAGGCUUCCUCACUAUCACCACCUUUACUCUCUUAAAGACACACAUGCCUCUUGCUCGAUAAAAUCAACCCAAUCAUAUAAUGAAACUAUAUCAGAGUGAAACCCAACUUCAAAUAAAUCACGAUACAUCAUUGUGUUCUCAUGUUAGAAUUACGAUCUCAUUUGUGUUGGUACACACAAUAUUUCCAAAGGAAAAUAUUUUAUUCCUUUUGACCAAUAGAAUUCUCAACUAGUAUUAAACCCUUUUAAUUGGAAGUAUUUGCACCACAUAUGACUUGGGAGCUAUAACAGUUUGGCUAUUGUCUUUUACUAAGAUUUUUCAAAAUCACAAAUCACUACAUCAUUGACCCCUUUGUAAUCCAACUCCCAAGUUACAUGCUAUUUUUUCAUUUGACACUUUGGUAGGCCCAUUUUUGCUAUAUGGAUAACGAAUUCAAAUUCUCUCAGAUCUCGCAAUCCGACGUCGACAGAUUACGAAUUGGACCAUUCAAGAGGAAGAGAAAGGUUCGGACCCUUAGGUUUUGUGAGAUAAACCAAUGGAAUGGACUAAUAGAGACCAUUUGAAUUGAAUGCUUCAGAUUACUCUAUCAGUCGGUUCCGGUCUAAAGAGAUCUGGAGAGGAUCUCAAUUCAUGGAUAACAUGUUGAUAUCACGUGUUGAUUUUUUUAGUUCUAUGUAACUAGAGUUCAACUUAAUUUUUUUCUUAAAAAUAAGUAAUAUGAUAGAUCUCUUAUUUGCUAAACACUCUAGAAGUGAUUUAGGUUUGUUGACUUGAAUUCAGUCAAGUCAACUAGAACUGUGUUCUCAACCAUCUGCACCCAAGAUCAAAUAUCUAUCUCGUACUUCUAAAAAAUUAAUUUUGGCCCUCUCAUAAACAUAUCAAAAUAUGCCCUUCAACUUUUACUUGGUGAAUUUAUUCCAAUAAAUCAGCCUGCCAAAUUUUGUUACCAUUUUGUGCUAAAAUCCCGAAGAAGGUACUUUCUAUAACACUACCACUAAACUAAUGUGAGUUCAAUACAUUGAUACAAGUUCAAUACAAUGAUACCACAUUCAUGAGUUUGAUAUAUUAAACUCAUGAGUUCAAUAAAUUGGAAUCACACCCAAAUUUUCGGCCCACUAAAAGUGUGAUUCCUAUACAAGUUCAAUACAUUAAUCACACUCAAUUUGUCCGUCCUACUGCGGAAGGUCUAAGUACAUCACAAGCUGCUAUUCUAACCACGUUAGCAGAAAGUUCCUUCACUUCAAAGUUUCAACAACCAACUGUUUUCAUUAAACAAUAAAAAAAGGCAAUUGCUUCAAACGUUUUCUGACAGGGUCUUGUUCUUUUUUUGGUCCGAUCAUCAGGUCGCUUAUAUACGCUUUGGCGGUACGUAUUGCAUCUGAGCAUCUUCGCAUAUGUUCUGCAAAUAUAUGAACCAAAUAAGUAAAUUAACCAAAGAAAAACAAUGGAGAAAAAAAAUGUAAGAACUUCUAAACAUCCCAAUACAAGCAACCUCUACAGAUUUGAAAAAGUGCAAUAGAGUAAACAUAGCACAUGGAAAUCGUCCAUGAGUACCUCCACACCCAAUUUAAGCUCCAAAGCGAACAAUAAUGUAAUGGGACGAAAUAGUUUCCAAAAAAAAAAUGUAAUGGGAAGAAACCAGUUUGGCAUUGAUUUAAUUAUCCUACUACAUCAAUCAACGUAACCAUCCACGCGAAUGGGGUUACCACAGAAUUGAUCCUCGGGAAUGGAACACAAAAAAAAGAAAAAAGAGCAGCUUUUCAUGAUAUACCAAGAGUUUUGAAUAGGUCACUACGGCAUAGAUCAUAUACCAAGAGUUUUCAAUUUUGAUUAACGCACUAAUUACACCUUAUGAGAAGGAAAAGAAGAUGGAGAGCCCAAACCAUUAAAUCUGUUGCAUCCAACAACAACAUUGGAUCCGAGGAUUCUUUCUUCUAAGGACGUGCUAAUAUGACAAUCUACUUCAGGUUCAACCAUGCAUACACACACACAUAGGCCAUCAUAUCUGAGUGGACCAUUAAACACACUCCACAAUCUGCAAUUUUUUACUCCUAAUGUCAAUUAGGGCAGACUUUCAAGUUACUUGCAAAUUUGUUUGAAAUAUAUGGUGGCAAAACUGGCUAUUCGAAAACUAUCCCAACCAAAAACAAUCAUGGCUCAAAUGGUAUAGUUAACAUAUUCGAUGAAAUAACUAUAAUACAAAAGACUGGCCAGUGUGGCCACUAACCAAAUUUAUUUGAAAUUGUAUAACAAUAAAAUAUAAAAAAAACAUAGUGUUACCUUCAUAUCCUCCGAAAGAGCCUCUGAAACAGCGAGUGUGUAACAACCAGGGACAAAUUUUGCUGCCAAAAAAUCAAAAUACAUGUUAAAAUUUCACAGCCAAUUUGAAAAUCAAUGCCAGAUUGUAGUACCCAUAACGUAGAGCAUGUAAAAGUCCGAAAAGUAAACAAUUUAAAGCAGAUGCCUUUGAGAAAAUUGAGAGCAAGCCACUAUAUUAUCAAGUGUUAAAAGAAUGAAUAGGCGACUCAAACACUGUGGACAAAUUCCUAAAGAAAACUGAAAUUGCACAAAUUACAAAAAAUUAAAAUUGAAAAUGGUUGUCGAAAAUCAAUGUAUCAUUUCAAUGCAAAAUCUUGGAAUAAACAAAAUUUGUUUGAACCAUACAUACCAAUUCGGAGCCACCGCGCAGCCCAACUCCUACUCGGAUCCAUUACUGAGAUGAUCCUAAAAUACAAGCAAUGCAAAUUAUGCAAUUUCCAAUAAACAAAAAAAAUCAAAAAUUAAAGAAAAAUCAAAAUCAUCUCAGAGAACGAGAGUAAAGAAGACCAACCCGUUGAAAUUAGGAGUGGUGCAAUCGGUGAUGCGCUCGUUGUCGUCGUUCAUCUCGAAGAAAGGGCAGUUCUCGCAUCCAUGUUCUCUGAACUGCAUUUGCAUUUGAAUAUUUACUCAGCAAAAACCCUAAAACCUCUGUAAUUUAAAACAAAAAAUUUUAAAUAAAAUAAAAAAAGGAAAACGAGAUGUAAAACCCUAACCUGAUCGUAGGUCUUGACGAGGCGGCAACGGAGGCAAGCCCUAAGCUCGUGGCCGAAGCUCGUCGGAAUCUGGGCUGGUUCCGAUUGGGCGUUCCUCAUCUUCUCUCAGCAAAAAUAACAACCACCGGUGUAUAUUUUUUUUCCGACCCAAACAAAAAUCCGUAUUUAUAAAAAUGUAUUUAAAGGAAUUUGCACAAAAAGCCUGAAGUUUUUUAUUUUUGUGCAUUAAUCCUUCACAUUAAAUAUUGUUUUGAAUUAACCACUUAUAAUUCGAACUAUUUAACUAAAUGACACCUUUCUUUACUUUCCAAUUUCCAUCCACAAUUCCAUUAAAAUUACAUGAUGGCCCCUUUAUAGGUGUCCUAAACCUUAAUCCAAUAAUAGAUGGUUAUCUAACGUUUGUUGUUACAAUUUCUCUUUAUUGUUGAUUAAGAUCAAACGGUUGAUGAUCACAAUUUUCUUGGACUAUGGAGUCUAAUAGAACACAACUCUUAUUUUAUUAAUUUACCUUAAGAGAAAAUAUUAAAUUUAUCGUGCAAUCAUAUUACAACGCUCAAAUUAAUAACAUCAUAUAACGACGUCACGAUUACUCAUAAAUUUCUCCAACGUAAGUGACUAAAUCUGGGGUGGAAAUUGGAGGGAAGUACCAUAUUCAUAACGGUUCAAGGCUUGGAGUGGAACUUAAUUGUAAAACUUCUUAAUCUGGGAGUAAAAUGCACAGAAGUGAAUAUUUCAAGGUCUACGUGGAAUUUCCUUUUUAUAUAUUAUUAUUGUAAUUUUUUUAUGAAAAUAUGUUUGCUCACCACCUUUAUUCAGGAGAUAAUUUGAAAUUAUUUAAUAAGAGCGGUGUUAUCCACAAACCUAGGCAAACAAUUAAAAUAACCUUUGGCGACAAAUAAAACACAGAAGAUUGCAAUGACAUGGAUUAAAGGGACAAAGAACUACAGUCGAACUACGAAGAACCAAAAGCGUAAAACUAAAAGUUUAUGCAAACUUUCAUUCACAAACAGUAGGGUUUAACAUGGAACCUGCAAACUUCACCAAACUCAUGCAGCAAAAAUACAAAAAGCUUUUAUUUCCCUAUCACAGUAACCAAGCACGGCACAACCAUAGGGCCCUCGUAUUCAACCCGAG
rnacentral:lncRNA from 1 species